rnacentral:snRNA from 1 species
ACCAGCACUAAUGCACCGGAUCC